rnacentral:rRNA from 1 species
GAGUUUGAUCAUGGCUCAGAAUGAACGCUGGCGGCACGCUUAACACAUGCAAGUCGAACGAGAUCUUCGGAUCUAGUGGCAGACGGGUGCGUAACGCGUGGGAACCUGCCCUUUAGUAAGGAAUAACUCAGGGAAACUUGUGCUAAUACCUUAUAAUCCCUUCGGGGGAAAGCUUUAUGCGCUAAUGGAUGGGCCCGCGUUAGAUUAGCUUGUUGGUGAGGUAAUGGCUCACCAAGGCGACGAUCUAUAGCUGGUCUGAGAGGAUGAUCAGCCACACUGGGACUGAGACACGGCCCAGACUCCUACGGGAGGCAGCAGUGGGGAAUAUUGGACACUGGGGGCAACCCUGAUCCAGCGAUGCCGCGUGAGUGAUGAAGGCCCUAGGGUUGUAAAACUCUUUCGCCAGGGAAGAUAAUGACGGUACCUGGUAAAGAAGAUCCGGCUAACUCCGUGCCAGCAGCCGCGGUAAUACGGAGGGAUUUAGCGUUAUUCGGAAUAACUGGGCGUAAAGCGAGCGUAGGCGGAUUUGUAAGUUGGAGGUGAAAUCCCAGGGCUUAACCCUGGAACUGCCUUCAAAACUACAUUUCUUGAGUUUGGUAGAGGAGAGUGGAAUUCCUAGUGUAGAGGUGAAAUUCGUAGAUAUUAAGAGGAACACCAGUGGCGAAGGCGACUCUCUGGGCCAAUACUGACGCUGAGGUUCGAAAGCGUGGGGAGCAAACGGGAUUAGAUACCCCGGUAGUCCACGCAGUAAACGAUGAGUGCUAGAUGUUGGGAACAUUAGUUUUCAGUAUCGCAGCUAACGCGUUAAGCACUCCGCCUGGGAAGUACGGCCGCAAGGCUAAAACUCAAAUGAAUUGACGGGGACCCGCACAAGCGGUGGAUCAUGUGGUUUAAUUCGAAGCAACGCGAAGAACCUUACCGGCUCUUGACAUACCAAUCGCGGAUCUAAGAAAUUAGAUCCUUCACUUCGGGUGGAUUGGAUACAGGUGCUGCAUGGCUGUCGUCAGCUCGUGUCGUGAGAUGUUGGGUUAAGUCCCGCAACGAGCGCAACCCCUACCUUCAAUUGCCAGCACGUUAUGGUGGGAACUUUGAAGGAACUGCCGGUGAUAAGCCGGAGGAAGGUGGGGAUGACGUCAAGUCCUCAUGGCCCUUACGGGCCGGGCUACACACGUGAUACAAUGGUGAUUACAAAGGGCUGCUACAGAGCGAUCUCAAGCGAAUCCUUAAAAGUCAUCUCAGUUCGGAUUGCACUCUGCAACUCGAGUGCAUGAAGUUGGAAUCGCUAGUAAUCGUAGAUCAGCGCGCUACGGUGAAUACGUUCCCGGGUCUUGUACACACCGCCCGUCACACCAUGGGAGUUGGUUUUACCUGAAGCUAGUUCGCUAACCGCAAGGAGGCAGCUAACCACGGUAAGAUUAGCGACCGGGGUGAAGUCGUAACAAGGUAACC